AGAUUGAACGCUGGCGGCAUGCCUUACACAUGCAAGUCGAACGGCAGCGCGGGGCAACCUGGCGGCGAGUGGCGAACGGGUGAGUAAUAUAUCGGAACGUACCCUGGAGUGGGGGAUAACGUAGCGAAAGUUACGCUAAUACCGCAUACGAUCUAAGGAUGAAAGUGGGGGAUCGCAAGACCUCAUGCUCCUGGAGCGCCGAUAUCUGAUUAGCUAGUUGGUGGGUAAAGGCCUACCAAGGCAGUCGAUCAGUAGCUGGUCUGAGAGGACGACCAGCCACACGUGGAACUGACGACGACGGUCCAGACUCCGUACGGGGAGCAGCAGUCGGGGUAAUUUGGACAAGUGGGGACGAAAGGCCUAGACUCCGAGACAAGUGCCCGU
rnacentral:rRNA from 1 species